rnacentral:tRNA from 1 species
UACUUAGAUAACUUAAUUUAAAGUUUAACUCUGAAGAAGUUAUUAUAAGGUGUAUAUCUUUCUAAGU